rnacentral:lncRNA from 1 species
CUCCCAAGUAAUCGAUAUGAUAGAUAAAGCUAAUGAAUGACGAAUUCCCCUUCAUAAAUUGGGGUCUCCGGUCAAGUGGCGAUUUAACUUCUCUUAUCAAAUCCCACAAGACCAGGUACUUUGUACUCUCUUUGCUGAUGUUUCUCCCUCCAUUAAUUUCCUGCGUGAUUUCUGUCCUGGAUAAAGUAGAGUAUUCAAUAAGUUUACAUUUUACAUGAGAGGAGUAUUCAUGCUUUCAGUGGGUAACAAGCUGUGAAAAUUUUUAUGUUUAUCUCUGGUCAAGUUUCACAUCAUCUUUUGUUUAGUUUAUCGAUUUAUUUAGGAGUAUAAUUUUUGAUAUAUAAAGUUCUUGUUGGUUUUCCAUAUGGUUGUGUUCUGUAGGACUUGUGCGGUAAUUUUGAUUCUCGAGGCAUCUGUUGAAUGGUGCAGAUUGUUCUAAAAAAAAGCUUUGCUACCCUGCGUAAAAUAAUGCCAUAAAAACCCGUCUCUCUUGAAAUGUUGUUUGAGUUUGUGCGUUAAAAUUUGUUCUAAUUACUUUUAUUUGGAGAUGAGUAUGGUAUGUGUGAAUGCAUGGAUAUGGGGCUGUCAAUUUGUAAUGUUGGCAUCAUUUUGAAUGUUUCCCUUUUUGUGAGAAAAAAUCUGAAGUUUCUGCAUGUGUUUUCUUGGUGUUGGAUCUCUGCUUCCUUCUUCUGGUUGAUUUUUUUUCACAUUGUUGUGAUUCUGUUAGGACAUUUUUGAUCCUCUAGGUAUAUUUCUACUUGAUUGUAUAUUGCAUAGUUUUCUACCAUUAAGCAGCUUCCCUGAAGCUAAAUACAAUAAAUGACAUGGGGCACAAAUGCUGGAUAAUUAUGUUUUUAAGGAUGUCGCUAAUAGCAAGUAAAAACUAAAUUUAUACUAUAUAAAGAAAUAAUUUUAGAGAUUUUAAUUAACUCGUCGUGUCCGUACUCUUUGAAAAAUUGCAUGUCGACGUAUCCAACACAUGUUGUAUUGGACACACGUUUUAGCGUUUAUGCAUCAUAGCUGUACAGUAACCAUUCUGAGUUUGAAUCGAUGACUAGGUUUCCGUCACUUUAGAAAAGAAAUUGAGAGGGCAACUAUCAUUGGUACAAGGACAUUGAUUCUGUAAGUCAGGUUUUUAUUGCCUGGAUUCACAGGUUGUCAUAAAAAGCUUUAAAUUGUAAAUAUCCUUUGUUUUAUGGGAUGUUUUGUAUGCAAUAUUAAGACUAUAUAGUGAAUAAAUUUUAAUUUUUCUUUUUUGUAUUGUCCAAUUCACCUUACUGAGCAAUUCAUUGUAGAAUAUAGAAGAAAAUGAGGAAUUUUCGUUUCACUUCUAUUUCUCUCCAUUUACUUCAUUUUUCUUGGCAUUUACUUUUAUUUGGUUUUGUUUCAGGAUGUGCAUAUCCAUCUUAACCAUAUAUUGCUUGCAACGUUGAUCUCUGGCUCUUUUAUUUGCAGCUUAUUUUGACUUAUGCAACAUGAAUCCCUACAGGUCAAUAUUUUGUUUGUCAAUGAUGGUGUUACAGGCAUGGGGUACAGAUUGGGAUGGACUGAGGCAGCUUCGUGCAUUCUAGUACCAAGACUAGGUGAUUCCUGCACAAAGAUUCAUCUCCACCCUACUCACUCACCUUGCUCUCCUUCUACCAAACCCACAACCCUCGUUCUUGAAGGUCAUGAUGAAAUCAAGAUUCAACACUUCAAACUUUCGUCAAAUUUAUCUCCAGGUACAAAAUUACAUUCGAGUCUACUAGCUCUAUAACCUAUCCUUCAUCCCCAAUUUCCUUGCUAACACGUAUUUUAGUAAAUUCCUAUCUUCCCUCCCAUUCUUCCUCAUGCCCGGAGAGAAUCCUAGGGCGUGGACGGGUUAGACCAUUGAACUUGUACAAGAAAGGCAAAGGCACCUGGAAACUAUAAUCCAUGGCUGGGGUGACCAUCUCAAUAUUUAGAGCAUCUCCAAGAUACUCUAUUUUUAAAGCGUACAUUCUAUCAUUUUGAGAGCAUCUUUAAAUUUAGAGAGUUAAAAUUUUGAAAUAUUCCAACAAGUUCUUUAUAUUUAAUAUUUAAUUUUAGUACUCCAAAAAAAUAUUUAUUAUUUUUCUCUAGAUUAUUUUAUUAUUUCCUAUAUUGAAAACUGAAAUACUUUGAAUGCAUUUAAUUAUAGAAAGUGAAUUUGGCUUGACUCUUUAAAAUGGAGAGUAUAUUAUGUUUAAAGAGUCUCUUGGAGAUGCUCUUAGUCAAAUAAGCAUUUGAAGUGUUGGCCAGCUCAAUUUGUUAACUUAUUAAAGGAUAUACCUAAAUAAUAUGAGAUCUGAUUUUUGUUUAACAUCAAUGAAUAUGAUCAUAUCCAUUUGGGGUUGGGGAUGGAAAUAGGUCCAGACUGCUUGCUUGCUUGGCUUGUAUGCUUGUGAGAGCUUGGUCCAUGGGCGGCUUGGCUCAUUACAUCACGAGCCCAUGUUAUUUUUUUUAUUUAAUUAAUUAAAUUUCUUUGUCUUUUAUCCCGUAUUUAAUUUUUCUUUAAAUUCUAUUUAAUAAAACGAAAAGCUCCCAGGAUGGACCAACUUGGCUCAUCACAAGAAAGGCCCAUGGGCCAAGCCUUGCCCCUUGGUCAACGAGCAGAGCUUAGGUGGUCAACUCGACUUGGUCCGAUCCAUUGUAACCCUUAUAAUCCAUAAACAGAAAUUAGCUUAGAAAGCUAAAAAGACAUAAUGACUUUGUUCAUAAUUUUUAGUUGGGUUUUUGUUUUGGAUUCAAUAUGUAACACCUUGGAUUUAAUUUCUAUUUUGUAUGAGGUCAAAUUUUGUUAAUUUAAGGAAAUUUUUUUAACUACCAUACUUUAUGCUUACAUUUUUUAGAAUUAUCAAAGUUUGAGAAACUUUUCUUAAUUCAGGUCAUAAUUCAAGAUUUUUUUUUAUACAAAAAUAGAUAAUAAUUGAUUUACAUAGGAAUGUUACCUAAAUUAGUGGUUAUUAAAGGAUAAAUUGAUUUUUCACUCUCAUCAUAUUCAUUCUCUAAAAACUUGUUCACAGUUAUUAUCCAUUUUAACUUCUCUCAGAACAAGGAAAGUAUAUAUUGGGGCUCAUGAGUUCAUACUUUUUUUUACAUGUUUUCCGGUGAAAAUCACCCUUCUACAUGCCACAAGGUCACAACCACAAUUUUGCAUGUUACAACAAGGAGGCAUUUGCAAUUCAUAAAGGUAUGUUUGAAUCGUUUUAUAAUUUAUGACAACAUUUAUGUCACUCUAUAUAUGUGUUGUUCCUUGUGAACAGUAUAGGAUUCAUAUUAAAAGUUAAAUGCGAUAUUCGAUAUUUAAGAUCAUACAAGUCAAUGUGACCAAUGAUUUGCACAAUGAAAUUAUUGUAUUUCUUGUAUUGUUCACAAAUAUGUGUUAAUUGUGCUCAUACAUGGCACGCAAAAUUGUGAUAUUUGUAUUAUGUGAUUGUAUUUACGUGAAAUGUGAAAUCGUGACUUGAUAACGUGUGAGGUAAAAGAUGAAAUGCAACAAUUGUCUUUAUGUGUGACCUCUCAUAAUGACAGUGAAGAAGGAAUAGACUAUGGUUUUCUCUUUCCAAAUAAUAUUGAUAUGGUAAGAAUCUCAUUUUGUUUAAUUUGAAUUUUAAAAAUUAAAAAUCAAAUAUAUAUUACCACAAUUAAUGGGAUUAAAUAUAUUUAAAAUAUUUUUUAGAACAAAAAUACCUGACUUGUUAAUAAAAAGAGUUAAUACAUGAUUUUCUACCAUGGAAACUCGAACGCAUGGUGUCCUCUAAAGGGAAAUGCCAUAUUUUAAGAUUACAUUUUCAGAAAUAUCAAAGUUUGAGACUUUGGAUAACCAAGUUAUAAUUAAAAAUUUUUUGGUAUGGGAAUAAAUAAUAAUUGAUUUAUAUAAGAUAAAAAUAUUCCACAAUUAGUGGUUAUCGUAUGAAAAUUGAUUUUUAUCUCAUCAUAUUCCUCCCCUAAAAAUUUGCUUACAGUUACUAUCUUUCCCAUUUAAUGUCUCUGAGAAAAAGAAAAGAAUAAUGCUAUUUGCUGUCGCUUACUAACCAUCACAUGUAUGCUAUAUAAGGUGACUAUGGUAUUGAGCGAUUGAAAAUAACAUUACUCAAAAGAAAAUGAUAAAUUGUUGCUCCAUGAUUUCGUAAUUUCCUUGCAUAUUUUUCGGCCACAACAACCAUUCUACAUGUCAAUAGGCUACAACCAACAUUCUGUUGCCACCAUAGGUAGGCGUUUGGAAUUUUUAAAGAUAUGUUUGUGCUAUUUAAUAAUUUGUGAAUAUAGUUUUAUAACUAUAAAUGUGUUGUAUGGACGGUAUAAUAUUCAUGUUAAAAGUCAUACGUGACCAACGAUAUAUAAGCAUGUGCAUAAAGUUAAUAUGUGACCAGUGACUUAGUGAUUUUACACAAUGAAAUUAUUGUACUAUUUAUAUUUUUCACAAAACUUUGUCAAAUUGUAACUCAAGUGACCUGUGAAAUUGUGACCUUUGUAUUAAUGUGACGUGCAAAAUUGUGGCUUGAUAAUAUGUGUAAAGUGAAAAUGAAAUAUUUAUGACAUUUGUAUUUUAUGUGUGUUUUUGCGACCUCUCACAAUGCGGUAAAGAAGAAAAAGAAUUAGUGUUUCUAUCUCCAAAUUCAAAUAAUAAUUACCAGUCCAAAAAUUAAAAUCAUGUAUAUAUUACCACAGUUAACAAGACUGGGGACAAAAUAAAAACAUAUACUAUAAUUAUAUAAAAUAUUUUUUGAAAAAAAGACAUCUGAUUUUCUAAUUAAAAAAAUAAUACCUGAUUUUUAUAAUGAAACUUAAAAUCAUGGUUUCCUCUAAUUUUUUCAUUCUAUAAUUUUGAUGUUUUCCCAAAAUUUGCAGUUUCCCUGCAAUGGCUUAUACCUAUAGAUUCAAGUAUUUCUCAAUUCAAGAUAUACUCUUUUAUCCCCCGUUUGGCCCCUUUUAAAACUUUUCAAUUUAAUUUAAACUUUUUCUCUCAUACUUUGAAUCAAACAAUCUUCAAUAAAAUAAUAUUACAUUCAAAUCGAAAACUUUUCAACCACACAAUCUUCAAAAAAAUAUUAUUCCCCCCAUUAUAAAUUCAAAUAAUGGGGGCCAAACAAACUCUUAGUAAUUACGAUUAUUUCUAUUUAACUGAGAUUUUCCCUUCUUUUUGUGGAUUUUUGGCUGGGAUUGUUUAUUAAUUGAUGAAAAGUGAAGGAUUAAGCAUGAGACCAGUGGCUGACCCGUGGUAAUUCAAAUGAAAUCUAGUUUAAGAAUAAAUGUGAUGCAUGUGGAUUUCGAUGAUGAGGUCACUGCCUCACCGGUCUACACACAAGCAAGCUCGAAAAAUCAUAAAUUUAUAUUUUUGCUAAAAUUAUAUCCACAAUCAUAUUACGCAACAAAGAAUUUUAGGUUCGUGUUGUAAAGUUUGUUACAGGUGCUAAAAAUUUUUGUGCAAAUAGGCUGUUUGAUCGUUUAAUGGGGUGAUAAAAAAUUUCCCUGUUGACUCGGAUUUUCCAGCUAGACGAACAUUAGAAGUUAUUUGAAUUUUGAAUUGUUACUAUGGACGUUGGUACUCUAUUCGGAAGUGCUCAUUAGAAGUUAAUGUGACAUUUGUAUCCUUUAAUCUUAUUAUGCUCAUUAAUUCUAAGGCAAAUAUCUAGAGUAACUUGAAUGUUAGUUGAUUUUAAUUAUCCCGAAUGAUCCAUUAUUCAUGAAGUGAAUUGAUGUGACGCAGGAUGCAAUACGAGAAUUAUAGGAGAAGGGGGAAGGGGAGAGAAGAGAAGGGAGGGGAAAAGAGAGAAGAAAAGGGAGAGAGGAAGGUAGAAGUUGGGGGAGAAAUAAGUUUAUUUCAUAUAUCAAAACUUGUCUGAUUACAAAGCAUAAGACCCUUUUAUAUAAGAAUUCGUACCAAAUUGAUGCAGGAUGCAGUAUGAGAAUUAUAGGAGAAGGGAAAAGGGGGGAGGAAGAGAACGGAGGGGGCAAAGAGAGGAAGAUAGAAACUGGGGGAGAAAUCAGUUUAUUUCAUAAAUCAAAGCUUGUCUUAUUACAAAGCAUAAGACCCCUUUAUAUAGGGAUUCAAUGGGGAACAUAUAAUAAAAGCAACUAAAUUAAACCUAAUUAUGUUUCCUAAAAUACUAAUUAAAACUGGAAACUAAACACAAUAAUAUCCCUUAUUAUAUUGCAUCAUGAUGUUUCAUGUCAAGAUGAUUAGGACUGCCUAUAAGUUUCUAGCGGAAAAUAUGACUUGGUGAUCAUCAGCGACGUUCGGAUCCAUUUUCUAGUUAAAUAUGAGGCAGUAUUUCACAAUGAUGCUCUGCAUUCUGUCAUGUUUCUUAGAAGCAAGCCCAGAAGAACACCUGAGCAAAAAGUGCAGCAAGGCAAGCUUUGGCUGUUUUGUAAAGUGUUGAUAUCUCAAAGCAUUAAAAUUUGCACAAAGUUUGAGACCUUUUUCAUCUGAGCCAUUGCUUUCUUAGUUUGUUACUUGGAAUUGGACUAGUUGCUUAAAAUGUAUAUAAUCAUAAUAUAAAAUAAAUUUUUGCUAAUUUUGAAUGAAUCAGUGAUAAAAUCAACUUAUCUUUGCAGCAACUACUGAAAAUUGCUUCAGUUUCUCAAUAAUGCUGAAUUGUCAUUACAUAUUGAUUUUUGCCAUUUCAAAUAUCUAUUCUUCACUUAUGUUAAUUCUUGCAUCACUUUGCAUUUUGUGCUUAAUCCCAAGAGUUCUUUGCAUUUUGGUACAGUGCCUUGAUGACUGUAUUUCAGAUGUUUAAUAGACGUUGCACUUAGGAACUUCUGGUUUUACCUAUAAAAGGUUUUGUUCUUGCCAUGUACUUGUGAAUCCUGUUAUGUGCUAUACUUUGUAUACGUUUUUAUGUAUUUGUUUCUAUUUUCUGCUCUGGAUUCUUUGCCUAUUUAAUACUGCAGGUAGCUCAAGAAAUUGAAUCCGAAGCUAAAUACGAAAUGAUUUUCUCAACCAGCUGGUAUGCCAUUAACUGUACAGAACCUGAAUCUGAAUUGGGCCUCGACUGAUUACUGAUAUUACAUUCACUAAUUGCUGGAAAAGUAGAUGAGGAAUUAGCCGCAGUUGGCAACCUGUUUUCCUUCCGAAUUAUUGACUUAACAGACAGUGCACGUGAAUCACUCUUUUAGGCAGUAUGCUUCACAAGAGAAGAAUUUGGUGUUCGUUUAAUUCAAUUUGUGGGAAAAGGUCUUGCAAAUUACAGGUACCAUGGUGAUGUAGAGGGUUUAUGCCAUGCUUCUAUACAAUCCUUUCCUAUUAAAAAUGUUACUUCUUAUAGCACCAACAAAACCUUCAAAAAUGAAAAUUUAAAAUUUGACAUUGAAGUCAAUUGGAGGAUGGGAGUAAAGGAGUGAUGAGGAAAAUGGAAAAUCAUGUUAAAAUGAGUCUGAAGCCAUAGCUGAGAAUUGUAGUGGAUCUUGUUUUAUAUAUAUUUUGUGAACUCGUACAGUUUGAGGAAUGCAAGAAGGGAACAAAAGUUUCCAGCAUUUAUGGCGGCAUUAUUAGGGGAAGGAAGGGAAUACCCAGUUGGUCGUGCGACCCUUAUUUUGUUUGAUGCAUUAUUUUUUUAAGCUGAUUCUAUGCCCUUCUAUUCAUCCCCUUGAUCACGCUCUGAUCAUAUGGGAACUUAGGAAUUUUUAAGGCUGUUGAUUUUGGUUCGGUAAAAUUCUGUUGAAUACUCAAAAAUUGAAAUGUGCAGUUCGUAUUGCUGUCUUUUUCCAAAAUAAGAGGUUCAUGCCUCUUUUGGCCCUCACCAUCAAAAACCUUUACUUGUUUUAGAAAUUUGGUCCAAUAUUAAUCCUUGAACUGUUCGACUCAUUAUCUUGUUUGAAACGACCUAGCUCUCGUCUAUUGUUCUAUUUCUUUUACAGCAAAUGACAUUGAUCAAAGCUCAAGUAGGGGGGAAAAAUAACAUGAGGAUGCUGAACAAAAGCAUCGUCAAGGAAGGAUCAAGUCGUCAUUAAUGUGGUUCCUUUUGCACUUCUUUGUUUUUUGUUGUCGAAAUUUUCACAAAGAUGAACAAGAAUACUUCUCCAUUGCUUUCUCCCAGGGCUGGUACAUUAAGUUCACUUAAAAAAUAUCUGUCUACGUAUAUAUCAAAUGCAUUUUCUCUCAAAACCUUUCACAUGGCUUAUCCUUUUAAGUUGUUACAAGUCAGAAAAGCAUGCUUGUGGUUAUUCCAACCUUCUUGUAAAAUGUAAAUAGUUAUAUGGAAUGGCUUGUAAAUACUCCGCUGAAGCAAGAAUUAGAAGAUAUUAUUAUUUUUUCCGUAUGUGUUUAAAAAUUUCCUGUGUGAAGAUGGAAAAGUUGGAAAAGAUGGAAACUGAUAAUAUUAGUCUCUCUCUCUCUUUUUUUUUUUCCCCCAAGAAAUUGGAAUCCUGGGAAUUUUGCCCUAGGAUAUCAGAAGUUUAGUAGGUACCCUUUAUAACAAGAAUUGGAAUCUUUGAUGCUAUGUCCAUCGAACUUAAAAAUCCUACGUUAACUAAGAAGCUGCUACAUGGAAGUACUCCAGUAAAGUGUUUCUAGAGUUAUCAUUGUAAAGAUUGGGUUUUGCUGAAAUUUGAGCCCGAAAGAUGGUUGCUGGCCUACUGAUCCUUUUCAUUGUUCGGCCCAAUUGCUCAGUCCAUCUAAAUGAAGGUUUAGACUUGAAGAAUUUUGUUUCUUAACUAUGAUUACUGCAUUCGUAACUUAAAUUGAAUGGAUGGCUGACACAUGAAGUACUUGUGACCGUUGGAUGCAUAGAUGAAAUGAUACAUAUACUAUCUGUAGUCAUUUUGAAGGGGUGUGGAUGAAACCCUAGUUUCUUGACAUUUUUUUUUUUUUUUUUUAACGAGGUCUCCCAGCUUGCGCCAGACUAUAUAUCGUCGUCCCUGAACCUCCGGCCCCUCAGCUGCUCAGGGAGGUAAAUCGCAGAAUGUGCCCUUAGUUUCUUGACAUUCUUUGUUAUGCUUCGUGUGGUUUGUGAGAGAUUCACCAUGUGGGUGAUACUCUUGUAAAUUCUUGAGUAGAAUUUUGAUUGCUGUUAAUCAAUAACUGUUAUCCUCAUUUGUGAGUAGUUUUUAUACCAUUGUGGGAUAGCAGAGUGAGUUGGGAGGGAGAAAUCUUUUGAACAUUUGGUAUUCCUUUGUAAUCGAUAUUCUUGCUUGUUUUUGGGCUGUGUUAGUGGAUUAGAUAGCUAUCGCUAAACCUCCGGGGCCUGUGGCCGAAAAUUCUCGUGUGUUCUUUUGAUUUCUUACGUUUCUUUUAAACAAAGUUGGGUCACAAAUUUGGGACCUACAAUGGUAUGAGAGCUUGAAAACCCUUUGAUUCAUGUUCAAAUUUGGUUUUAAAACUCGAUUUGGUUCUGGUCGACUCUUCUGUUUUAAAGAAAACGUCAGAUUUGAGACAAUUUGUUAAUAUUCCUUAAAGAAAUUUCUUGAUAUGUACUUGAAGUUGCUUUGGGAGUAUUCUUGAGUAUUCUUUCAUGUUCACACUUCUGGUAACAAGUUUCAUAACCCUCUCUGAAAUUUCGAAAUGGGGAACCUAUGAGAAUAUUUUUUUAUUUUUUAACAAAGGAUUCCUGAAAACCUCCCUAAAUUUACCUUUGUCUAGGGAUCCCUGAGAGAACCCUAGAAUUUGAGGGAAUUAGGGUUUUGGUUUAAGGAAAUUCAAAAUUUUCAAUGACUUUUUGAAGUUGAUAUUUUGCUACUUUGUGUGUGUGUGCUAUAAUAUCUUAACUGGUUUUUAAAUUCACAUACCUGUUUUGAAGUGCUACAUGGGCCUUGUUUGAAUCCAUUAAUUUGGAAAAAUGUAUUAUGAAAUAGUGAAUGAUGGAGAAUGUGUGGUUAAAAAAGAAGGAUUUUUUUUUUACUUAUGUUUAAUAUUAUUUUAAUGAAGAAUGUGUGGUUAAAAAUGAGUAAUGUAGAAAAAAUUAUGGGAAAGAAUUUUAAGUAAAGGAUGACAAACGGGAGCAUAUUGUUAACUUUGUAUUGAUACUCUAAUUGUGUUUAUUUUGGGAUUACGCCUCUAUUCAUGUGAAUAACUUGAUAUCAUAUGUUUUGAACUUUUCUUCUUGUUUAUUGAGUGUAAGCAUACCUGUUCUUGAUAUUUUUAUUGUAUAGUCUUUCCUUAUAUUUGGAUUAUACUCUCUAUCUUGCAAUUGAAUUUUUUAAAACCAUUUGUUUAAUAUAUUCUUACUUACAAUUUUGCACAAUUAUCACAUUGUUGCAUUCUAAAGUAGAUGUUCAGAUUUGGGAUGGCAAAGGAGACUUUAGCCUCUGGUGAUGGAAAAUUAAAGCUCUUAUGCAACAGUUAAAAUGUGCUAAAGUCAUUGAUGCAAGUUGGCUAGAAAACCUACCUGUGGAUAGGAAAACUAAACAAGACGAAUUAGGGUAUAGUACUAUGUUUCUCGACCUAUUUGAUUAUGUAAUUAAGAAAGUAGGGGAAACCAAUACUACUGUGGAAUUGUAGACUGCUUUAGAGAAACGGUAACUCACUAAGACUCUACCAAAUAAGUGUUAUCUUUGGAGACAAUUUUUUAGUUUUAAGUUUGAUCCUAGCACUGACUCUGGAGAAAACAUGGACAGAUUUAAUAGGAUCACUUAGGAUCUGAUAAAUUGUGGUGAAAAGAUUUCUGGUGAACAAAAAGUGGUUGGUUUGCUUAAUGCACUAGGAGAGAAAUGUAAAGACAUAAGAAAUGCUUUAGAAUAUGUUAGAAGAGACUUGACUGUUGAUAUAAUUCAUAGCCCUCUUUUAAAUAGAGAAUUGGAAUUAAGAUCUGAACAUAAAGAGGUCUUUCAUGAUGAGAAUACCUCAUCUAAUACAAAAACUCAAGUCAAAGGUAUGAGUAACUUUAGUCGAGCUAAUUAUAAUAGAGAUAAUAAUCUCAUUCAAAGAGGCUAAGAACAAAAAGUGCUACUGCUACGGAAAAACAGGUCAUUUUAUAGAAUGUUUUAAGAAAGCUAAUGAUCAAGAGAAUGGAUCCAAUCUUGAGAAUGGUUCUUUAGCCAUUGCUGCCUUUUAUAAAGAAGCAGGAGCUAAUGCUGGGGUGGUUUAUGUAGCUUCAACUGAAAGGAUUGAUCAGAAUUGUGUUUUAGAUUCAGGUUGCUCCUUUCAUUUGAGCCCCAAUCUCAAUUGGUUCUCUAAUUUCUCAAGACUAGAUGGAGGUUUUGUGAAUCUUGGAAACAUGAGACAUGCCAAGUAAAGGGUAUUGGCAAUUUUGUCAUGGGGUUUGAAAAUGGUCAACACAUGAUGUUAAAACAUACUAGGUAUGUUCCAGCGUCAAGAAGAAAUCUUAUAUUGUUAGGGGUUCUAGAUGAUGAGAACUAUCAUAUUGAAAUCAAUAAUGGUUUUAGAUACAUAAUUAGAUACCAAAAGCUCAUUGUAGAUUCCCCGAACUCUAAUAGAAUCUAUGUUAUCAGUUCUGAACUUGUUUCACCCAAAUGUGUAAACUUUGUAACAUAAUAUGAUAAAUCGCAAUUAUGGCACAAGAGAUUAUGUCAUCUUAGUGAAAAAGGCUUGUUCUUCCAAAUGAAGGGCAGAUGAGACAAAUAAGACCUUCUUCUAGAUUUCAAUAUGCAGAUUAUGUAUGUCUAGUUUGAAUUUGAUCCUUUUGAUUUGGAACCACCUUCUUAUGAAGAAGCUGUAUCCUGUAAGGAAUCCUCUAAGUGGCUUAUAGCAAUGUAAGUGGAGAUGAAUUCCUUAUGUAAGAAUAGAACUUAAAAUUUGGUAGAAAAACCCAAAGGCUGCAAACUGAUUAACUGCAAAUGGGUUUAUAAAAUCAAAUAAUAAAAGAUAUAAGGCAAGACUUGUAGCAAAAGAUUUUACACAGACUAAAGGAAUAGACUAAAUCGAAAUUUUUUCACCUGUUGCGAAAUACACAUCUAUUAGAAUAUUACUUGCCAUUGUAACUCAAUUUGAUUUAAAGUUAGAACAAGUUGAUGUUAAUACUGCUUUUCUACAUGGUUCUCUAGAUGAAUCCAUAUAUAUGACUCAACCAAAAGAUUAUGAAGUGAAGAAAAAGGAGAACUUAGUGUGUCUCUUGAAUAAAUCCCUGUAUGGUCUAAAAUUGGCUACAAGGCAAUGAUAUACGAGAUUUCAUUCUUUUAUAUAGGGAUUGAAGUUCAAAAAAUUUGAAUAUGAUCCAUGUUUUUUAUUUAAAAAAUGAUGGAGAAAUUGGAUUUUUCUAUCGGCUCCCAUAUGUUGAGUACAUGCUACUAGUUGGUCACAAUUCUGUUACUCUCAACUUUAUAAAGGAAAAGUUGAAAUCUGAAUUUGAAAUGAAGGAUUUAGGACUUGCUAGGAACAUGGAAAUAAAAAGGGGCAAAAUUAAUGGAAAACUAUUUCUAACACAAAAAUCUUAUAUUGAAAGAGUGGUUAAACGAUUUUUUGUUUAUGAUGCUAAGCCUAUUAGUUUGCCUUUAUCUGCUUGUGUGAAUUUAUCUAUUGAUCAAUUACCUAAGUUGAAGAUGAAUUUAAAAGAAUGAUGAAUGUUCUAUAUGCUAAUGCUGUUGGAUCUAUCAUAUAUGUGAUGGUGUGCUCUAGAUCUGAUAUAGCUUAUGUUGUAAGUGUGAUGAGCAGAUUCAUGAGUAAUCCAAGUGAUCUUUAUUGGGAAGCUAUGAAAAAUUUAAUCAAAUACUUGAAAGGCACAAAUCAAUCAGGACUUAUGUUAAAAAUUGAUAAAGAUGGUCUUGAGUUGAAAGGGUAUGUUGACUCUGAAUUUUGUUAGAAACGUAGACAAUAGGGAGUCUAUAACUGCAUAUUUCUAUGUGAUAAAUAAUACAUGUAUUAGAUGAAAAUCUCAACUUCAGAAAUUAGUUGCCUUGUCUUCAAGUGAGUCUGAAUAUAUAGUUACAAAUGAAGCAGUAAAAAAUGUUCUAUGGCUAAAAGGCUUAUUAAAUGAUCUAGGUUAUGGAAAGUAAGGUAGAGUUAUGGUUAGAUAAUCAAAGUAUCAUUUUCUUAAGUGAAAAAUCAAAAUUUUCACGAUAAAUUUAAGCAUAUAGAUGUUAAAUUUCAUUUUAUUAGAGACAUACCACUUAGUAAAUUCAUUGAUUCUUUGGGAUUAUUGAAAUUUGAAGUUUGCUAUUUUUAUUUUUAUUUUUUCCUUUCUUUGUGAACAGGUAACGAGUGCAAAUGAAAUUAGUUAUUUAGUUUUUAAAUGCACUUCGCUAUUGUCUCAAAUUACGGCAAGGUGGCGAUUGUAAAGAUUGGAUUUGCUGACAUUUUAGCCCAGAAAAUGGUUGCUGGCCAAUGAUCCUUUAGUCCAUCUAAAUGAAUGGAUGGCUCACGCGUGGAGUACUUAUGACCAUUGGAUGCAUGGUUAGAUGGAAAACGAUACAUACACCAUCUGUAGCCAUUUGAAGGGUGUGGAUGAAACCCUUGUCUCUUGAUAUUCUUUGUCCUGCUUUGUGCUGUCCGUGAGAGAUUUAUCAUCUGUGUGAUAUUCUUGUAAAUUCUUAAGUAGAAUUUUUAAGGGUUGUUAAUCAAUAACAUUUAUCCUCAUUUGUGAGUAGUUUUUUAUUCAUUUCUAGAAUAGCAGAGAGUGAGUUGAGAGGGAGAAAUCUUUUAAACAUUUGGUGUUCUUCUGUGAUCGAUAUUCUUGCCUAUUUUUGGGCUAUGUUAGUGAAUUUGAGCGAAAUUUUAAUGCAUGCUCAACAAGAGAUUGAGCAUUCGAUAGCGGUCAUUGAACUUUUGAAGCCUUUGGUCGAAAAUACUCACGUGUUCUUUUUUUAUUUAUU